UACGUAGGGUGCAAGCGUUGUCCGGAAUUAUUGGGCGUAAAGAGCUCGUAGGCGGCUUGUCGCGUCGGCUGUGAAAACCUGGGGCUCAACCCCGGGCCUGCAGCCGAUACGGGCAAGCUAGAAUUCGGUAGGGGAGACUGGAAUUCCUGGUGUAGCGGUGAAAUGCGCAGAUAUCAGGAGGAACACCGGUGGCGAAGGCGGGUCUCUGGACAGUUCCUGACGCUGAGGCACGGAAGGCCAGGGGAGCAAACGGG
rnacentral:rRNA from 1 species